AUCACUUCUGGCCUUUUGGCUAAGAUCAAGUGUAGUAUCUGUCUACUGAUUCAUUCUCCAAAUGCCCACAAAAGCCAUUUGAAAUUAGGUGGAAGCUGGAAGAUUUGAACUCAAUCCAGGUCCUCUUUUGGGAGUUAGGGACCCAACUACUUGAGCUAUCUCUGCUGUGUCCCACAGUACACAUU
ensembl:snRNA U2 U2 spliceosomal RNA